rnacentral:SRP_RNA from 1 species
GCCAGGCACAGUGGUGUGCACCUGUAAUCCCAGCUACUUGGGAGGCUGAGGCAGAGGAAUUGCUCGAACCCAGGAGGUGGAGGUUGAAGUGAGCCGAGAUCGCACCACUGCACUCCAGCCUGGGUGACAGAGCGAGACUCUGUCUCAA